AGCGAACGCUGGCGGCAGGCCUAACACAUGCAAGUCGAGCGCCGUAGCAAUACGGAGCGGCAGACGGGAGAGUAACACGUGGGAACGUGCCCUUUGGUUCGGAAUAACUCAGGGAAACUUGAGCUAAUAACGGAUAAGCCCUUACGGGGAAAGCUUUAUUGCCAUUGGAGCGGCCCGCGUCGGAUUAGCUAGUUGGGUAGGUACUGGCCCACCAAGGCGACGAUCCGUAGCUGGUCUGAGAGGAUGACCAGCCUUACUGGGACUGGGACACGGCCCAGACUCCUACGGGAGGAAGCAGUGGGUAAUAUUGGACAAUGGGCGCAAGCCUGAUCCAGCCAUGCCGCGUGGAUGAUGAAGGUCCUAGGGUUGUAAAGUCCUUUUAACGGGGAAGAUAAUGACGGUACCCGUAGAAUAAGCCCCGGCUAACUUCGUGCCAGCAGCCGCCGUAAAAC
rnacentral:rRNA from 1 species